CGCGGUAAUACGUAGGGCGCAAAGCGUUAUCCGAAUUAUUGGGCGUAAAGAAGCUCGUAGGCGGUUUGUCGCGUCUGCCGUGAAAGUCCGGGGCUCAACUCCGGAUCUGCGGUGGGUACGGGCAGACUAGAGUGAUGUAGGGGAGACUGGAAUUCCUGGUGUAGCGGUGAAAUGCGCAGAUAUCAGGAGGAACACCGAUGGCGAAGGCAGGUCUCUGGGCAUUAACUGACGCUGAGGAGCGAAAGCAUGGGGAGCGAACAGGAUUAGAUACCCUGGUAGUCCAUGCCGUAAACGUUGGGCACUAGGUGUGGGGGACAUUCCACGUUUUCCGCGCCGUAGCUAACGCAUUAAGUGCCCCGCCUGGGGAGUACGGCCGCAAGGCUAAAACUCAAAGGAAUUGACGGGGGCCCGCACAAGCGGCGGAGCAUGCGGAUUAAUUCGAUGCAACGCGAAGAACCUUACCAAGGCUUGACAUGAACCGGACCGGGCUGGAAACAGUCUUUCCCCUUGUGGGCUGGUUUACAGGUGGUGCAUGGUUGUCGUCAGCUCGUGUCGUGAGAUGUUGGGUUAAGUCCCGCAACGAGCGCAACCCUCGUUCUAUGUUGCCAGCACGUGAUGGUGGGGACUCAUAGGAGACUGCCGGGGUCAACUCGGAGGAAGGUGGGGACGACGUCAAAUCAUCAUGCCCCUUAUGUCUUGGGCUUCACGCAUGCUACAAUGGCCGGUACAAAGGGUUGCGAUACUGUGAGGUGGAGCUAAUCCCAAAAAGCCGGUCUCAGUUCGGAUUGGGGUCUGCAACUCGACCCCAUGAAGUCGGAGUCGCUAGUAAUCGCAGAUCAGCAACGCUGCGGUGAAUACGUUCCCGGGCCUUGUACACACCGCCCGUCAAGUCACGAAAGUUGGUAACACCCGAAGCCGGUGGCCUAACCCC
rnacentral:rRNA from 1 species